AAAAUUGGAGCUCAAGGGCUUCCGUUCCACAAAAGAAGUGGUGUUUUCAUGCACUUUGCGAUGUUACAUAUAUACGAUACGAAAAUUUAAUUGGGUUUACGUUUAUGAUAUGUAAAAUGCCUUUUACUUCUGGCUUGAAUGCU